UACGUAGGGGGCUAGCGUUGUCCGGAAUCAUUGGGCGUAAAGCGCGCGUAGGCGGCCAGAUAAGUCCGGUGUGAAAGCCACAGGCUCAACCUGUGAAUGCCGCUGGAAACUGUCUGGCUAGAGUCCGGGAGGGGCGAGUGGAAUUCCUGGUGUAGCGGUGAAAUGCGCAGAUAUCAGGAGGAACACCAAUGGCGAAGGCAGCUCGCUGGAACGGAACUGACGCUGAGGCGCGAAAGCCAGGGGAGCAAACGGG
rnacentral:rRNA from 1 species